rnacentral:lncRNA from 1 species
UUAUUUUUUUUUUGUCUUUAUUGGCAUUUCUUGGGCUGCUUCCCACGGCAUAUGGAGGUUCCUAGGCUAGGAGUUGAAUCAGAGCUGUAGCCACCAGCCCAUGCCAGAGCCACAGCAACGCAGGAUCCGAGCCGCAUCUGCAACCUACACCACAGCUCACGGCAACACCAGAUCCUUAACCCACUGAGCAAGGCCAGGGAUCAAACCCGCAACCUCAUGGUUCCUAGUCGGAUUCGUUAACCACUGUGCCAUGAUGAGAACUCCUGACCUCUACAUUUCUUAACUCUCAAGGAAGGAAAGAUUUCAGUUCUCCUGUUUUUGUGAUUGGGUUAUCAUAUAAGGCUGAGUAAAAACACAAUUCCAUCACAUUUUGGCUAAAACUUAAAUCAAAAAAGGAACAAAAUCUUGAAUUGGGUCAAGCAUCUCCCAGUUUAUACCUUUGUGUAUAAGAUCAAGGGCAACGUCACCCAGCUUUCUCAGGCUUAGCCAUAAAUUACAUUUCGUGUGUGUGCAUGGUAAUUUUUUUCCUGCAGUAUUUUUCUCGCUGCUAAACCUGAAGUCCUUACGGCCUUAUCUCCCUUUCCUUCAUGCUGCUCAUAACAUAGGCUACAUGUUCUCUGCUUUGCAAAGGAAGGGAGUAAGAGGCAAGAUGACCUAAGGGAUUUGUCCAAGGUCACACUGGGGUCAGAGGUGAAAGAAGGAGACAGGUUCUGUUCUUGCGACUCUUGACCCACAGCCUUAUCUCCUUAACCAGAUUCUUCUGUUUGGUGUGUGUUCCUUCUCAAGCAAACAGAAUCCUGAUAAAGUGAUGGACUCCACAACCUUAAAAGCUUGAAAAAAGAAAAGUUUGGAAAAACAGGUGCUAAGAAGACUCUAUCAUACUGUUCUGAAGGAUUCACAUGGGUGGUCAAUUCUCUACCAAGUUGUUGUGGCUGGACUUCAAAGUGACCCCUCAGCCUUCACCUGCCCGUUGACCUAUGGCUGGAGUCAUUGUUCCUACUCACUGCCCUGAGGUUUUAAAAAGACUGUGCAGACAAAGCUCUGGACACAUGAUGGGCUGUUUAAGAGGACACGCUCCCUCCAAGUUGGAGAUUCUGCUUCACCUACGAAUCCUGCUUUUCUUUUGAGAAAAAAAAAAUGGCACGAAGUGGAAAAGGGGUUCUAUUGGUUAACCUGACAUGGGAUGACUUCAGGUAGCAGUUCAUGUGUGGUCUGAGUUCACCUUCCUGGGUUUGAAUGCAGCUCUGCCACUUGCUAGCUGUCUGAUUGGGAAAAGUGACUUAACCUCUGUGCAUCCAUGUUCUUGUGGUGAAAUGGGGGGAAUGACAGUUUCUGUCUCUGAGUGAGGGUGACAUAUAAAGGGUUGUAAAGCUCUCAGAGCAGUGCCUGGUGCUUAGGAGGUGGCUCAACCAUGUUAGCUAUGGUUAUUAUUAUUAUGGCUUAAUAAUGGCUGUAUCAGUCAGGGUUAACCCCUGAGCAACAUGGGUUUGAACUGCAGGGAUCUCCUUAUAUCUGGCUUCUUUUCAAUGGUAAAUACUACAGUGCUACAUGAUCUAGUUGGUUGAGUCCACAGUUGCUGAUAGGGAGGAACUUUGGAAUGGAAGAACCAGGGGCAUUCUUCUUUUCUCUUUCUGUGUAUAUACAGAGAGAAAGAGAGAUAGAGAAAGAAAGAGAGCAUAUGAUGAAGCAAAUGUAAAAAUUGGUAAAACUGGAGUAAGGAUAUAUGUUAAAUUUCUUAUACAAGUUUUGCAACUAUUUUGUAAGUUUGAC